GGGGAAUUAGCUCAACUGGUAGAGCAUCUGUUUUGCAUACAGAAGGUUAUCGGUUCAAAUCCGUUAUUCUCCA
rnacentral:tRNA from 1 species